UAUAACUUCGGCGAGGCUCGUUCUCUUCGUCUGGAAGGAGCGGUCGGCUGAGAGAAACGAAGUGCGAGCGCAGGGCGAUCUAUCGGCAUGAGCGCCAGCACCGCGAGCUACCUCGCCCGGAGGGCGGCGCAGAAGGAGCGCGUGAGGAUCCUCUACCGCCGAGCCCUCAGGGACACCCUCAACUGGGCCGUCCACCGCCACCUCUUCUACCAGGAUGCAUCUAGACCUAAGAGAAAAAUUUGAGGCCAACAAGCAUGUGGAGGAUCUAAACACCAUUGAUAGGCUUAUUGAUGAGGGAGAAGCAGCAUAUGAGAAGUGGCAGCACCCUGAUCCUUACAUUGUUCCCUGGGCUCCUGGUGGCUCCAAAUUUACACGAAAUCCACCACCACCUACUGGGAUUGAGAUUGUUUUAUGACUAUGGCAAAGAGGACCACUUGAAUUAGAAUCACAUCUUUGCAAACAAAGCUUAAAAAUUCUAGAAGUGCAGAGACAUCCAUCCAUUCCCGUUUCUCAUCUGUUUGGAAUCAAUAAUUGUCUCAUGAAUAAGUAAAACUAUACAUCACAUGUCGUAUAUUCGUGAUGUCGUGAAUAUUUGCAUGAAGAUUUGGGAACUCUCUCCAUUUACUAGGGCAACCAGUAUUGAAUCGCAUUUGCGCCUUAAUCA